GAUGAACGCUGGCGGCGUGCCUAAUACAUGCAAGUCGAGCGAACGGACGAGAAGCUUGCUUUUCUGAUGUUAGCGGCGGACGGGUGAGUAACACGUGGAUAACCUACCUAUAAGACUGGGAUAACUUCGGGAAACCGGAGCUAAUACCGGAUAAUAUUUUGAACCGCAUGGUUCAAAAGUGAAAGACGGUCUUGCUGUUACUUAUAGAUGGAUCCGCGCUGCAUUAGCUAGUUGGUAAGGUAACGGCUUACCAAGGCAACGAUGCAUAGCCGACCUGAGAGGGUGAUCGGCCACACUGGAACUGAGACACGGUCCAGACUCCUACGGGAGGCAGCAGUAGGGAAUCUUCCACAAUGGGCGAAAGCCUGACGGAGCAACGCCGCGUGAGUGAUGAAGGUCUUCGGAUCGUAAAACUCUGUUAUUAGGGAAGAACAUAUGUGUAAGUAACUGUGCACAUCUUGACGGUACCUAAUCAGAAAGCCACGGCUAACUACGUG
rnacentral:rRNA from 1 species